rnacentral:rRNA from 1 species
UACAGAGGUCUCAAGCGUUGUUCGGAUUCAUUGGGCGUAAAGGGUGCGUAGGCGGCGCGGUAAGUCGGGUGUGAAAUCUCGGGAGCUUAACUCCGAAACUGCAUUCGAUACUGCCGUGCUUGAGGACUGGAGAGGAGACUGGAAUUUACGGUGUAGCGGUGAAAUGCGUAGAUAUCGUAAGGAAGACCAGUGGCGAAGGCGGGUCUCUGGACAGUUCCUGACGCUGAGGCACGAAGGUCAGGGGAGCAAACGGGG